ensembl:lncRNA
CUUUGUUCUUCCCGCUAUUUGCAUGAGGAUUAUCUAAUGACGCAGCAAGGCUCGCCACAACGUGACCGUCGCCAUUUUUCUGUUUUUAUUCUAUCUCUGCCAUGUGAUAGAUGGGGGGGAGGGGGGGAGGUUGGAAAAGGGAGAGAGACAGGAUUAAAAAAAAAAAAAAAACUUCCGGGUCUCAUGACCGGGAAGGGAGAAAAACAAAAGGGAGACGAGACACAACUCCAGGGGAAGGGUGUGUGUGCGUGUGUGCGUGUGUGCGCGCCCUCCCCGCCUCUGCUCCGGCGGCCGGCCAGGAGCAUCCUCCCACCUGGGGACCCGGAUCGCACCGCUCGCCGUGGCGGUCGCCUGUGCCGGCCCCACGCCCGCCGCCAACGCUCUGCGAAGCUGUCAGCUCGGUCCCUCCUCGUCGCCUCCACUUGCCGGUCCACCCCAGAGCUCGCGCUCGCGUUCCGGGACGGGCAGGCCGUUCUGGGUCCCGUGUUCACGGUGGCUGAAGAGACAGUGUGUUUGGGAGCUCUGCCACGUUUUUCGAGCAGAAAAGGACUUUGGAGUCCACUAGCGUUCCUCACUGUACAGGCAGAGAGACCGAGGCCCCGAGUGGUGAUGGAGAUGCUUGGGGACCCCAUUUCGUUGGAGAGGAGCUGGGCUUGAGCUCACCUGGUCUCUCUGU